rnacentral:rRNA from 1 species
UGAUCCUGGCUCAGGAUGAACGCUAGCGGCAGGCUUAACACAUGCAAGUCGAGGGGUAUAGAGAGCUUGCUUUCUAGAGACCGGCGCACGGGUGCGUAACGCGUAUGCAAUCUACCUUUUACAAAGGGAUAGCCCAGAGAAAUUUGGAUUAAUACCUUAUAGUAUUACACUUUGGCAUCAAGGAGUAAUUAAAGAUUUAUCGGUAAAAGAUGAGCAUGCGUCCCAUUAGCUAGUUGGUAAGGUAACGGCUUACCAAGGCAACGAUGGGUAGGGGUCCUGAGAGGGAGAUCCCCCACACUGGUACUGAGACACGGACCAGACUCCUACGGGAGGCAGCAGUGAGGAAUAUUGGUCAAUGGACGCAAGUCUGAACCAGCCAUGCCGCGUGCAGGAUGACGGUCCUAUGGAUUGUAAACUGCUUUUGUACAGGAAGAAACCCUACUUCGUGAAGUAGAUUGACGGUACUGUAAGAAUAAGGAUCGGCUAACUCCGUGCCAGCAGCCGCGGUAAU